CAGCCGCCGCGGGAAUACGUAGGGUGCGAGCGUUAAUCGGAAUUACUGGGCGUAAAGCGUGCGCAGGCGGUUGUGUAAGACAGGUGUGAAAUCCCCGGGCUUAACCUGGGAACUGCGCUUGUGACUGCACAGCUAGAGUAUGGCAGAGGGGGGUGGAAUUCCACGUGUAGCAGUGAAAUGCGUAGAGAUGUGGAGGAACACCGAUGGCGAAGGCAGCCCCCUGGGCCAAUACUGACGCUCAUGCACGAAAGCGUGGGGAGCAAAUGGGAUUAGAUACCCCGGUAGUCCCUGUCUCUUAUAA
rnacentral:rRNA from 1 species